UACGAAGGGGGCUAGCGUUGCUCGGAAUCACUGGGCGUAAAGGGUGCGUAGGCGGGGCUUUAAGUCAGGGGUGAAAUCCUGGAGCUCAACUCCAGAACUGCCUUUGAUACUGGCGAUCUCGAGUCCGGAAGAGGUGAGUGGAACUCCUAGUGUAGAGGUGGAAUUCGUAGAUAUUAGGAAGAACACCAGUGGCGAAGGCGGCUCACUGGUCCGGUACUGACGCUGAGGUGCGAAAGCGUGGGGAGCAAACAGG
rnacentral:rRNA from 1 species